rnacentral:rRNA from 1 species
GAUGAACGCUGACAGAAUGCUUAACACAUGCAAGUCUUUGGCGAAGCUGUGCUCGCACAGCCUAGCCAAGGCGGACGGGUGAGUAACGCGUAAGGAACUUGCCCUGCAGUCAGGGAUAACAGACGGAAACGACUGAUAAGACCUGGUAAAGUCAGGCGGACUCAUGUCCAGCCUGAUGAAAAGAGAUGCUGCAGGAGAGCCUUGCGUCCUAUUAGCUUGUUGGUGGGGUAACGGCCCACCAAGGCGAUGAUAGGUAGCCGGCCUGAGAGGGUGGACGGCCACAAGGGGACUGAGAUACGGCCCUUACUCCUACGGGAGGCAGCAGUGGGGAAUAUUGGACAAUGGGGGCAACCCUGAUCCAGCAAUUCUGUGUGCACGAUGAAGGUUUUCGGAUUGUAAAGUGCUUUCAGCAGGGAAGAAAAAAAUGACGGUACCUGCAGAAGAAGCGACGGCUAAAUAUGUG